CAUAGUUUUCAAAAUAGGUAAAAAUGCCCCAAAAAAAAUUGCCAUUUAAGGGCAAUAACUCUUAUAUAGGCAGUCAACCACCAAUAUUGGCAAUAUUGACUUAUUUGUAGAUUUUGUCUCUAUGAAAAUAUUUGCUUAAAAUUUCUGUUAUCUUUCUUUAGUUUUUAUAUAAAAGAUAAAGGGGUCCUUGGUGGCCCACUGAGGUUGUGAGUUCAAACCUCUCACAUGGCAGGUGUGCUCGUCUAAAAACCCCUCACAUGGCAGGUGUGCUCGUCUAAAACCCCCUCACAUGGCAGGUGUGCUCGUCUAAAAAACCCUCACAUGGCAGGUGUGCUCGUCUAAAAAACCCUCACAUGGCAGGUGUGCUUGUCUAAAAACCCCUCACAUGGCAGGUGUGCUCGUCUAAAACCCCCUCACAUGGCAGGUGUGCUCGUCUAAAACCCCCUCACAUGGCAGGUGUGCUCAUCUAAAACCCCCUCACAUGGCAGGUGUGCUCGUCUAAAACCCCCUCACAUGGCAGGUGUGCUCGUCUAAAACCCCCUCACAUGGCAGGUGUGCUCGUCUAAAAACCCCUCACAUGGCAGGUGUGCUUGUCUAAAACCCCCUCACAUGGCAGGUGUGCUCGUCUAAAACCCCCUCACAUGGCAGGUGUGCUAGUCUAAAAAACCCUCACAUGGCAGGUGUGCUUGUCUAAAACCCCCUCACAUGGCAGGUGUGCUUGUCUAAAACCCCCUCACAUGGCAGGUGUGCUUGUCUAAGGAUUGCCAGUUUUCCUGCCAAAAGGUUCUCUGCAGCACUCUGGCUUCCUGCAGCACUCUGGCUUCCUGCAGCACUCUAGCUUCCUGCAGCACUCUGGCUUCCUGCAGCACUCUGGCUUCCUGCAGCACUCUGGCUUCCUGCACCAUAAAAACUGACUGCCAGGAAAUAGCCAAUAGUGAUGAAAAGGCCAAUAAACACCUAACAAUCAAUUAAAACGAUAAAAGGCAAAACAAAAAAAAUUGGUAAAAAUCCUCAUUCAAGGGCAUAAUUCCUAUAAAAAAUUGACUGAUGAUUUCAGUCUUAUCUGUAAAUUUUGUCUGGCUGAUCAUUUUUGCUGUUUAAAUUUCUAACUAUAUUUUAUUCCACCCUUUCCCCCACAUUUUGACCUUCUACAUUCCUUGUUAGUACGUAAUGUUGACAUACAGUAACCUGUGUGAUAAUUCCAUACUUUGACAGGUUAUGCUCCACCACCACCACCCACCUCUCCCUAUGACCCCACAUUUUGACCUUCUACAUUCCAUGUGAGUACAUAAUGUUGACAUACAGUAACCUGUGUGAUAAUUCCAUACAUUGACAUACAGUAACCUGUGUGAUAAUUCCAUACAUUGACAUACAGUAACCUGUGUGAUAAUUCCAUACUUUGACAGGUUAUACAAUCCCCCUCCCCCUCUGACC